UGGGGAAUAUUGGACAAUGGGGGCAACCCUGAUCCAGCAAUGCCGCGUGUGUGAAGAAGGUCUUCGGAUUGUAAAGCUCUGUCUUUUGGGACGAUAAUGACGGUACCAAAGGAGGAAGCCACGGCUAACUACGUGCCAGCAGCCGCGGUAAUACGUAGGUGGCGAGCGUUGUCCGGAUUUACUGGGCGUAAAGGGUGCGUAGGCGGAUGUUUAAGUGAGAUGUGAAAUACCCGGGCUUAACUUGGGUGCUGCAUUUCAAACUGGAUAUCUAGAGUGCAGGAGAGGAGAAUGGAAUUCCUAGUGUAGCGGUGAAAUGCGUAGAGAUUAGGAAGAACACCAGUGGCGAAGGCGAUUCUCUGGACUGUAACUGACGCUGAGGCACGAAAGCGUGGGUAGCAAACAGGAUUAGAUACCCUGGUAGUCCACGCCGUAAACGAUGAGUACUAGGUGUAGGAGGUAUCGACCCCUUCUGUGCCGCAGUAAACACAUUAAGUACUCCGCCUGGGAAGUACGAUCGCAAGAUUAAAAC
rnacentral:rRNA from 1 species